rnacentral:rRNA from 1 species
AUUGAACGCUGGCGGCAGGCCUAACACAUGCAAGUCGAGCGGAUGAGUGGAGCUUGCUCCAUGAUUCAGCGGCGGACGGGUGAGUAAUGCCUAGGAAUCUGCCUGGUAGUGGGGGACAACGUUUCGAAAGGAACGCUAAUACCGCAUACGUCCUACGGGAGAAAGUGGGGGAUCUUCGGACCUCACGCUAUCAGAUGAGCCUAGGUCGGAUUAGCUAGUUGGUGAGGUAAAGGCUCACCAAGGCGACGAUCCGUAACUGGUCUGAGAGGAUGUUCAGUCACGUUGUAACUUAUACACGCUCCAGAUCACUACGGGACGUAGAAGUGGGCAAUAUUGGACAAUGGCCGACAGCCUGAUCCAACAGUGCCGCGUGUGUGAAGAAGGUCUACGGAUUGUAAAGCACUUGAAGUUUGGAGUAAGUGCAGUAAGUUCAUACCGUGCUGUUUUGACGUUCCCAACAGAAUAAGCACCUGCUAUCUUCGUGCCAGCCGCCGCCGUAAGAC